AUCUAUGAUCCUGGAAACAAAAACGUUCACCUUCGAAACCAACUUUUUGCAUCUCUUUCUCACUCCUUGCAAGUCCAACCACCCGAGAAGCGGUAAGUGGUCACUCCAGUUGAAUAUACCAAGCAGUUCGUACCCUUCACUCACCAGGCUCUCAAGCUCAACCGCAUCACCAGAAACACCUUUUCCAAAGUCGUAGCUCCUUCCAAACACGCUCAUCAUCACAUUGUUCAAAGACCCAAAAUGCAACACUUUCUUCACCUUCACCUCACCUUUCUUCUCCAUCAAAACCCUAAUCUCAUCCACCAUUUUCAACCCAAUAGUCCUCCGAAACUCCCCGAAACCAGCGAUUCUCCUCGGACUGAACAAAUGGGUGGCCGAAAUCCUCCUCAGAUUUCUCCAGUACACCCCGAACGGAGCAAAACCCAUUGCUCGGUGGAAUAAAAGCUCAUAAGCCGACUCCUUCACUGGUCGGUCCGCGAACGCCGAACUGUUCAGAAUCUCCUUGGCUGUUUCCGGUUGGCUGGAGAUAAUGAAACGAGUAAAGCCAACCGAAAAAGCCAUCAAUGGCGCAGCUUCAGAAACACGAGCCAGCUUGGCCAGAACCCUAUGAGUCAGAGAGCCAGUGAAGGCGAAAACAAGACCUAUCAGAGGUAACCCAGAAGGGCCAGGAAUGGCGCUACGUGCUUUAGCCUUGGACAUAGCCCAAGCUAAACCACCAGGCACAAGCCAGAAACCAAAGACGCCAACGAACAAAACCACACACAAGAACAGUUCCAAACUUAGAACUGGCGAGGACCCAGUUCCCGGAACGAACGAAAAGUA
rnacentral:lncRNA from 1 species